ACUAAUGAAACAGCAUUCUAAAAAACACUACAAUGGCGUACGUACACCAUACACGCAUAACCACUAAACACAUCAGGCAAAAUCACUGAAAACAUGUAACACAUAAGAACAAUAUAGUUCAUAGACAAUAUGCUGAACAAUAACGUCGUCGGGAAUUUUAAAUUUCCCGGAAGAGUCAUGUAAUAAAAGUCAGAAAAUAAGUUCAACAUAUGUUGUACUGGUACCUAAAACUGUCAGCAUUUUCCUGAAAUCCACAUGGCAUUCAACACCAACAACGCAAAAUGUGAUGAAUGCGUGAAAGCAUCGCCACGGUUUCCCAAUAGUACGUAAAAUGUAAAGGUAAAGAAAAACAAUGUCAAUGAUACAAAAUUCAGCUAGUUAACAUCCCAACAAAACAUCUAUCAAUUCAGUCACCGCCCAAAAACGAGUUGAGAACCAUCGUUGUGCUCUCCGG
rnacentral:lncRNA from 1 species